GUUACCGGCCGGGCCAUCGCUCCGGAAACGGGGAGGAAAGUCCGGACAGCACAGGGCAAUGCACCGGUUAAGCGCCGGGGUCAUCGUUGCACGGGCUAAUGAUACAGACAGUGCCACAGAAAAUAACCGCCCCUUAAAUGGGGUAAGGGUGAAAACGUAGGGUAAGAGCCUACGGCGGUAUUCAGUAAUGAAUACCGCGGGUAAACCUUGUAUGCUGUAAUGCCAUGUAGGUUUUGUUGAUUGAGCGGUUUCCGCUCAAAAGGUGAGCGGUCCGUUCACAUCGCCGCAAGGCGUAACAAAACGGGUAGGCAGCAAGAUCCAUCCAGUAAUGUAUGGGCCAGAUAAAUGAUGGCAUAGAAACAGAAUCCGGCUUAUGAGCCGGUAGCUUUU
rnacentral:RNase_P_RNA from 1 species